rnacentral:rRNA from 1 species
CUAGUAAUGGCAGGUCAGCAUACUGCCGUGAAUACGUUCCCGGGCCUUGUACACACCGCCCGUCACACCAUGAGAGUUAGGAAUACCCGAAGCCUGUGAGCCAACUUUAUAAGAGGCAGCAGUCGAAGGUAGAACUAAUGAUUGGGGUGAAGUCGUAACAAGGUACC